UACGGAGGGUGCAAGCGUUAUCCGGAUUCACUGGGUUUAAAGGGUGCGUAGGUGGGCAGGUAAGUCAGCGGUGAAAUCUCUGGGCUUAACCCGGAACUGCCGUUGAUACUAUCUGUCUUGAAUAUAGUGGAGGUGAGCGGAAUAUGUCAUGUAGCGGUGAAAUGCUUAGAUAUGACAUAGAACGCCAAUUGCGAAGGCAGCUCGCUACACAUAUAUUGACUCUGAGGCACGAAAGCGUGGGGAUCAAACAGG
rnacentral:rRNA from 1 species